AUAAAAAGAAGAAUCAUAGACAUAGGAUAAUUAGUAGGUAUUUUUAUCUUAGAUGCUUACUAUGAUUUUUGAAUAUCCACCCCAAUUUUUUUCCUUUCUCUUUUUGCAAGAAAUCCUAUUGCUUCUUUGACUUCUUUUCAAUUUUUUGUCAAUCCUUUUUCUUUUUCUUUAUCUUCAAAUAAAAUUUCUAACUUUUCUUGUAACUUUCCAUUAGCCACUUGAAGAAAUAGCUCCACUUUUCUUGGAUCUAGUAAUUGUCUUUCAUCCUUUGAUAAAUAAAAAUAUUAUCUUUUUAAUCCUCUCAAUAAUUUUGUUGUUUAAAGAUCCUUCUUAGACCUUUUAAUCUACUCAAUAAAUAACUUCUUUGUAAUUUAUUCACUAUCUUCUGAGAAUAAUUCAUCUUUUAAUGCUUUAAAAAAAUUCUCCCAUAAACCUCUAAAAUAUCCUAU
rnacentral:lncRNA from 1 species